UCCAAGUUCCANUAUGCUNAAUUCCCACNAGAUUCACUGGCCAACUUCUACACUGCUGCAGUUAUGUGUAUUUUACCUUUUGGAACAACUUUUAUCCCUGUAGAUGUCAGCCAAACAAAACUGCACAACUUUAACUGGUUAGCACAUUUCAGAUUCAAAAACUGGACUCAUUUCAUCACUUGAAACUACAACACACUCAACAAGAAUAUUUGGCUUUCAGGUGCAGCC
rnacentral:lncRNA from 1 species